CGGAGGCAGCAGUGAGGAAUCUUGCGCAAUGGGGGAAACCCUGACGCAGCAACGCCGCGUGAGUGAGGAAGGCUUUCGGGUCGUAAAGCUCUGUCGGAUGGGAAGAAAUGGUUGGAAGCUAAUACCUUCCAUCCUUGACGGUACCAUCAGAGGAAGCACCGGCUAACUCCGUGCCAGCAGCCGCGGUAAUACGGGGGGUGCAAGCGUUGUUCGGAGUCAUUGGGCGUAAAGCGCGCGCAGGCGGCUUGGUAAGUCAGAUGUGAAAUCCCUGGGCUUAACCCAGGAAGUGCAUUUGAUACUGCCUCGCUAGAGUACGGGAGAGGAAAGUGGAAUUCCUGGUGUAGAGGUGAAAUUCGUAGAUAUCAGGAGGAACACCGGUGGCGAAGGCGACUUUCUGGCCCGAUACUGACGCUCAAGCGCGAAAGCGUGGGGAGCAAACAGGAUUAGAUACCCCGGU
rnacentral:rRNA from 1 species